rnacentral:rRNA from 1 species
GUAGGUGGCAAGCGUUGUCCGGAAUUAUUGGGCGUAAAGCGCGCGCGGGCGGUCCUUUAAGUCUGAUGUGAAAGCCCACGGCUCAACCGUGGAGGGUCAUUGGAAACUGGGGGACUUGAGUGCAGAAGAGAAGAGUGGAAUUCCACGUGUAGCGGUGAAAUGCGUAGAGAUGUGGAGGAGCACCAGUGGCGAAGGCGACUCUUUGGUCUGUAACUGACGCUGAGGCGCGAAAGCGUGGGGAGCAAACAGGAUUAGAUACCCUGGUAGUCCACGCCGUAAACGAUGAGUGCUAAGUGUUAGAGGGUUUCCGCCCUUUAGUGCUGCAGCAAACGCAUUAAGCACUCCGCCUGGGAGUACGGCCGCAAGGCUG